rnacentral:rRNA from 1 species
UACCAGCUCUCCGAGUGGUAGGGAUGAUUAUUGGGCUUAAAGCGUCCGUAGCCGGCUUAGCAAGUUUCCUGUUAAACUCAGCGACUCAAUCGUUGGAUCGCGGGAAAUACUACUAGGCUAGGAGGCGGGAGAGGUCAACGGUACUUCUGGGGUAGGGGUGAAAUCCUAUAAUCCCGGGAGGACCACCAGUGGCGAAGGCUGUUGACUAGAACGCGCUCGACGGUGAGGGACGAAAGCUGGGGUAGCAAACCGGAUUAGAUACCCGGGUAGUCCCAGCUGUAAACGAUGCGAGCUAGGUGUUGGGAUGGCUACGUGCCAUUUCAGUGCCGCAGGGAAGCCAUUAAGCUCGCCGCCUGGGGAGUACGGCCGCAAGGCUGAAACUUAAAGGAAUUGGCGGGGAGCACCACAAGGCGUGAAGCUUGCGGUUC